GUCAUACACACGCUACUUCAUGAGAUCAGUCUGGGCCAGCAUUGUUUCUGAGAGCAAGUAAGGUGGAAUAAAAGUACACGUCGGAUAACUAGUCAUUUCAUUCUCAAAAAUGCUUGAGUGUGUACUACAAAUAUCAACAAAAGUCACACUCAACAAAACAAAUAAAACAAACUUCUGGGAAAAAUACCAAGGACAAGAUUCUUUCUAGAAGGAAAACUUUAGGAAAAUAAGAUUGCUUCAGUUUUUUUAUUAAAUGAAAAAAAGAUUAAAUUACGCAAUGUGAUCAUUUUAUUUUUUGUAACACAAAGCUUGUUUCUUGCCCAGCAUUAACCAAUAAAUAAGCAUUCAAUCAUUUUUAAAUUAACAGAGUUCGGCCAUGAUGGCCACUGUCCCGACCUCAUGUUACUUUCAAACA